rnacentral:pre_miRNA from 1 species
CAUCUACUCCCUCCGUUCCGAAUUACUUGUCGCAGGUAUGAAUGUAUCUAGAUGUAUUUUAGUUCUAGAUACAUCCAUUUCUACGACGAGUAAUUUGGAACGGAGGGAGUAUUAG